CCUACGGGUGGCAGCAGUGAGGAAUAUUGGUCAAUGGGCGCGAGCCUGAACCAGCCAAGUCGCGUGAGGGAAGACGGCCCUACGGGUUGUAAACCUCUUUUGCCGGGGAGCAACGUGCGCCACGUGUGGCUCCACUGAGAGUACCCGGAGACAAAGCAUCGGCUAACUCCGUGCCAGCAGCCGCGGUAAUACGGAGGAUGCGAGCGUUAUCCGGAUUUAUGGGGUUUAAAGGGUGCGUAGGCGGAGCGUUAAGUCAGUGGUCAAAUUGAGGGGAUCAACCCCUUCCCGCCAUUGAAACUGGCGCUCUUGAGUGGAAGAGAAGUAGGCGGAAUGCGUGGUGUAGCGGUGAAAUGCAUAGAUAUCACGCAGAACCCCGAUUGCGAAGGCAGCAUGCCGGCUUCCUACUGACGCUGAAGCACGAAAGCGUGGGGAUCGAACAGGAUUAGAUACCCGAGUAGUC
rnacentral:rRNA from 1 species